AACGAACGCUGGCGGCAGGCCUAACACAUGCAAGUCGAACGAGACCUUCGGGUCUAGUGGCGCACGGGUGCGUAACGCGUGGGAAUCUACCCUUGGGUUCGGAAUGACAGUUAGAAAUGACUGCUAAUACCGGAUGAUGACGUAAGUCCAAAGAUUUAUCGCCCAAGGAUGAGCCCGCGUAAGAUUAGCUUGUUGGUGGGGUAAUGGCCUACCAAGGCGACGAUCUUUAGCUGGUCUGAGAGGAUGAUCAGCCACACUGGGACUGAGACACGGCCCAGACUCCUACGGGGGGCUGCAGUGGGGAAUAUUGGACAAUGGGCGAAAGCCUGAUCCAGCAAUGCCGCGUGAGUGAUGAAGGCCUUAGGGUUGUAAAGCUCUUUUACCAGGGAUGAUAAUGACAGUACCUGGAGAAUAAGCUCCGGCUAACUCCGUGCCAGCCGCCGCCGUAA
rnacentral:rRNA from 1 species